UCUCUCUGUCGUCGGUGGUGGCGAAUCGUGCGCGACGGGAAAAGAGGGUCCUCUCGCGUGCCGGUUGUUGUCGUCGUCGACGUGCACGUCGCCGUCAUCGUUGUCGUCAUCAUAUUCGUUAUCGUGCUUCGGCGUCGAUCUCGUCGCGUGCGCAGUGUUCCCGUCUGGUGGAGAAUUGGCUCUCGGCCGUGCCGCUGGUUGGUUCGCGCCACGCGAAACUCGAGAGCGAUGGAAAUUCGUACGCGCGUGUCACGUCGCGGUGGUUGUUGCACCGUCGUUAAUCACCGAACGUGGCGCCAUAACGGGGCGCGUUCACCCGCGAUUAGAGUGUGAGAGAGUAGAGGAGUCGAUCGGAGGAUCUCCAUCGAUCGGUGAUUUAAGCACAUCGCCGGCUGUUAUUUCUCGAGAGGAGCCAGUGUUCGCGCGCGAUUCCUGUCGCUCCUCCUCGCGAUUGUGCUGUGCCACAGCUCGUGCCAUAACAGGAGAAGCAGGAAGGGAGGAGGUGAAGAAAAGAUGAUCCGCUACAGCCUGCGACUUUGUAUUCCUCGGGCAUCCCGGGACGACACCUUUACAUCUUCGUCAUGCCUCGGUUACGCUUCGUCUGCCUCUGUUAGACAAACCGACAGUUAGACAUUAGAACUCUCCGUUCCAUUUCCGGCAACGCAAAUCCAACCUUGUCCGACACGCAGGAACCGUCGGCUCCUUCGUUCAUACGAAGUUUGACACGGAAAUUUAUUCGCGCUUAACCGAUUUGGCAGUGGUUCAAGACGGAUGCUCCACCCACCCGAGAAGUCUGCCGCUGUUUUACGAUCGAAGUUCAGAACGACAUUUGCACGUCGGCUCUUUCGUCUCGGUUCCACAGCCGACACCGCCAUCGCCGCCCUCAUCCUUUGUACUAUUUCUUCGCUGCACCUUCUAUGAGGCCGGUUUCUCGGUUUCUCUCG